rnacentral:rRNA from 1 species
UACGAAGGGGGCGAGCGUUGUUCGGAUUUACUGGGCGUAAAGGGCGCGCAGGCGGUCGUUCAAGUCGCGUGUGAAAGCCCCCCGGCUCAACUGGGGAGGGUCACGCGAUACUGAUCGACUCGAAGGCAGGAGAGGGUAGUGGAAUUCCCGGUGUAGUGGUGAAAUGCGUAGAUAUCGGGAGGAACACCAGUGGCGAAGGCGACUACCUGGCCUGUUCUUGACGCUGAGACGCGAAAGCGUGGGGAGCAAACAGG